AUUGAACGCUGGCGGCAUGCCUUACACAUGCAAGUCGAACGGCAGCACGGGAGCAAUCCUGGUGGCGAGUGGCGAACGGGUGAGUAAAGUAUCGGAACGUGCCCAGUCGUGGGGGAUAACGUAGCGAAAGUUACGCUAAUACCGCAUACGAUCUAUGGAUGAAAGCGGGGGAUCGCAAGACCUCGCGCGAUUGGAGCGGCCGAUAUCAGAUUAGGUAGUUGGUGGGGUAAAGGCUAACCAAGCCGACGAUCUGUAGCUGGUCUGAGAGGACGACCAGCCACACUGGGACUGAGACACGGCCCAGACUCCUACGGGAGGCAGCAGUGGGGAAUUUUGGACAAUGGGCGCAAGCCUGAUCCAGCCAUGCCGCGUGCAGGAUGAAGGCCUUCGGGUUGUAAACUGCUUUUGUACGGAACGAAAAGGUUUGGCCUAAUAAGCUGAGCUCAUGACGGUACCGUAAGAAUAAGCACCGGCUAACUACGUGCCAGCCGCCGCAGUAA
rnacentral:rRNA from 1 species